AACCAAACGACCCUUUCUCCUUCACCUACCACCCCUAAACCGAACAGCCACCCCAACGUCACCACCACCCCACUCCCCGUCACUUCCGUCACGUCACCUCACCACCAACACGCCCCUAUCCCACGAAAUCCGCUGCCUUCUCUUUUCUCACACUCCAUCUCUGAAGCCUGCAAAUUCAGCGAAUUUUAUGUUCUCGGCUGAAACAACAAGCUUUCGAGUGGAUUCGGAGACUCGAAGACGACAAUAGCCUCAGUUCGCUGUCACGGAGAAGGUAAUCACAUUCGUCCUAUCUUCGUCUUUAAUUUUGUAAAACUAGAAAUGUAGUCGUUCAAGUAUUUCUUGUCGUAUAUUUGGUUUAGUUGGCUGGAAUGUGUGUUCUCCUCGUUUGUUGUAAAUUAGUGUGAAACGAAUAAUUUCAUCGAAUAUGUGCUUAACCCCGUCGCUGCUCGGCAAAAAGAGAAUUCUCAAAAUCCCUCUCUUUUAAUUUUUUUCGCUUUUAGUUCUGUCAUGGUAUAGCAUUAUGCGGUUUGUGUUUUAGACAAGUUUAGGUCUAAUCAUGUGUAACAACCUUAAAUCUUGAGAUUUUACUAGUUUAAGCUUCGAAAAAAUAAAACUAGCAAUGCUCUAGUGUUAGCUUAAUACUGCCUCGAAUAGUUGCUGAUACUGACUAGUCUCAAUUUGUUUUACAUGAUCAGUUUAGUUUAAAGCUAAUGGGAAAUCUGGUUUAAAUUAGCAUAAGAUAAAAUCGAUGUGCUGUUUGGAGCUAUUAACAUACGUCAGUUUCAGUUCUUGGGCUGGUUUAUAUUGUCUUAAGGAGAUUAGAUGUUGUUUUAGAUUUAAACAAUCUAAAGAUGUCUUUUGAAACAUACUUGAGCACCUGGCAGCCUUGAUAUAUAGACAUUUAAUUCAAAUUUGAUCAGAAAAUUUCUCUUAUUGAUCCCUGCUUCAUGGAUUGGGAUAUCUGUUGAUUUGAAACUGUAUUAUGUUGACUCUGUCAUGUAUUUGAAACUGUUUGUGUUGGCCAAACAACCUGUAGUGAGAGUCAUUCACCAUUUUUUUUUUUCUCUUUGCUUAAUUGUUUAUGAGUUGUUGAAAGGAAAUGGGGGGAAUUUACACGCUGGUUUGAAUAAAAAUGGGAAUAGAUCACUGUUCAUAUGAUUAUUUAGGAGGCCUCAGUUCUCAGCAUUUGACUGAGCUUAAGUUAAUAGCCUUGAAGAUUUAAAUGAUAGGCUUAUGGUUGUGCAUGUAUGAACUUGGUUCUGGUUGGGUAUAGCUGUUCUCAGUGCUUGCUAGUUUCAGUAUUCUUGCCAUUGUGGAUAGUUGAGUUAGUCUAAUGUGGGGUUGAAGUAAGUUUCUUAGAUUUAUUCUAGUAGAAACUUUGGGUAGUAGCCUAUAGAAAUGGAUCUUAUGGGCUGUUUCAUUACUGUCUAUGAUAGCUUCCCUUAUGUGUAUCCGGAUUCAAGUUGCAAUACAAGUUAAGCUUAUCAAGUCUGUGUCAAUAUGAUAUAGGUCUAGUCUGUGGACUUAUUUUAGUUUAAGAUACUUUCGGGGUCUGAUUGCUUAACACAUGCCCUUUUAGCAUUGUAUGGUGGCUGCCUGAAAUAAAUAGGGAUAAGGUUAUAUUUUAGCUCAAACCAUAAGUUCUGUGUUGAUCUAUUGUGUGCAAGGUGUUGCUCUUUCCUGAAUUGAGUUAAGUUAUCUCAACUAGAAUACAUAUUAGUUAUUGAAUUAUGUGUCAAGAGGUUAGGAAACAAAUUAAGAACCCAUUCUGCUAUAGUUUGGCCCUCUUCUUAAAAAUGAUAAACAUACAUAAUAUAGGAAGUGAUGGAUUUGCCAACCUAAUCUUCCUGUGAGCAUAUAGGACAUGCAUGUUUGAAUUUCUGUGGUCAUUUAUCUCUUCUUUUUCUUCUGACCCAACCCUGAAGAUCACGCUGUGAUAAUUUCUUUCCUUUCCUUAAAAGUGAUUGUCAAAUUAUUUGUUGUCUAUACGAGCUGUCUUUCCUUAGAAGUGAUUGUCAAACUGUUUGAUAGCAAAAAUGUAAAGUUGUUUUCAAUGGCUAAAUUGGAUUCUGCUUAACCAUUUCAGUUUAGUUACUAUUUUUUUCGCAAAGGCACUUCCUCUUUUUUAUAAAGCCUGCUUAUGUCCUAAAAGAAUAACUUUCAAACCUAUGUGUUGUGUGCAUCUUGGCUGAGUAUCAUCUUCAAGAAUUUCCUGAUACUUUCUUCUCUUCCCUGCAUUGUUCUAUUUUUCUAACCAGUAUGAGAUUAAGAAACUGUCUGCUAAAGCCUGAGUCUGUGUGCUCUAAAGUUAGCAUUAGAUUUGGCAUCAUAUUUAUAUGUUUGAAGUUUAAGCUUUCAGUUGUUUAUCCUAGUACUAUAGCAUCAAAUAUUUUUUUUUAAAAGGGGUUGGUUCCUUUACAUGACUAGUCGGUCUGUUUUUCAGUUUAAGCUAGUCUCUGGUUGCUUCCUUCAGUUACUGUGCUGUUAACUAAAUAUAUAUCGUUGUGUAUUAUUUGCUAGAAAAUGGGGAGGUCUGUUCCUUUAAGUUCUGUUAUCUUUUAGGUGUUUAAGAUUUUCACUUGAGAGAACUAAGUGCUAGCUACUGAACCUAUUGCUAGUUGAUUUAGCUGCAUAAAUACUCGAACAGUUAUUCCUUUCCCUUACUAAAGUAUUCUGUCUAAAUGGUUAAGUGCCCAGUUUAAUUGUUACUGCUACUCUUUUUUUUUUC